GGUGGAGUAGAGCAGUUGGUAGCUUAUCGGGCUCAUAAUCCGAGGGUCGUUGGUUCAAGUCCAAUCUCCACUA
rnacentral:tRNA from 1 species